rnacentral:piRNA from 1 species
CAGGAGUUUUCACCUAAAGGAGAAACUUA